rnacentral:rRNA from 1 species
GAUGAACGCUGGCGGCGUGCCUAAUACAUGCAAGUCGAGCGAAUGGAUUAAGAGCUUGCUCUUAUGAAGUUAGCGGCGGACGGGUGAGUAACACGUGGGUAACCUGCCCAUAAGACUGGGAUAACUCCGGGAAACCGGGGCUAAUACCGGAUAACAUUUUGAACCGCAUGGUUCGAAAUUGAAAGGCGGCUUCGGCUGUCACUUAUGGAUGGACCCGCGUCGCAUUAGCUAGUUAGUGAGGUAACGGCUCACCAAGGCAACGAUGCGUAGCCGACCUGAGAGGGUGAUCGGCCACACUGGGACUGGGACACGGCCCAGACUCCUACGGGAGGCAGCAGUAGGGAAUCUUCCGCAAUGGACGAAAGUCUGACGGAGCAACGCCGCGUGAGUGAGGAAGGCUUUCGGGUCGUAAAACUCUGUUGUUAGGGAAGAACAAGUGCUAGUUGAAUAAGCUGGCACCUUGACGGUACCUAACCAGAAAGCCACGGCUAACUACGUGCCAGCCGCCGCAGUAA